rnacentral:ribozyme from 15 species
UUUUUUUUUUUUUUUUUUUCUUUUUUUUUUCUUUCGAAAAACUUCCGUAAUCGAAUUGGAAGAAAGAU